CUACCGACUCCUACGGGAGGCAGCAGUGGGGAAUAUUGCACAAUGGGCGCAAGCCUGAUGCAGCCAUGCCGCGUGUAUGAAGAAGGCCUUCGGGUUGUAAAGUACUUUCAGCAGUGAGGAAGGUGGGUAUGUUAAUAGCAUACUCAUUUGACGUUAGCUGCAGAAGAAGCACCGGCUAACUCCGUGCCAGCAGCCGCGGUAAUACGGAGGGUGCGAGCGUUAAUCGGAAUUACUGGGCGUAAAGCGCAUGCAGGUGGUUGUUAAGUCAGAUGUGAAAGCCCGGGGCUCAACCUCGGAAUUGCAUUUGAAACUGGCAAACUAGAGUACUGUAGAGGGGGUAGAAUUUCAGGUGUAGCGGUGAAAUGCGUAGAGAUCUGAAGGAAUACCGGUGGCGAAGGCGGCCCCCUGGACAGAUACUGACACUCAGAUGCGAAAGCGUGGGGACGCAAACAGGAUUAGAUACCCUGGUAG
rnacentral:rRNA from 1 species